AGUUCGAUUCUGGCUCAGAUUGAACGCUGGCAGGAUGCUACACAUGCAAGUCGAACGGCAGCACGGACUUCGGUCUGGUGGCGAGUGGCGAACAGGUGAAAGCGAGUAAUGUAUCGGAACGUGCCUAGUAGCGGGGGAUAACUACGCGGCGUAGCUAAUACUACCGCAUACGCCCUUCGGGGGAAAGCGGGGACCUUCGGGCCUCGCACUAUUAGAGCGGCCGAUAUCGGAUUAGCUAGUUGGUGGGGUAACGGCUCACCAAGGCAUUGAUUCGUAGCUGGUUUGAAGGACGACCAGCCACGCAGGACUGAGACACGGCCCAGACUCCUACGGGAGGCAGCGGUGAGAUUUUGGACAAUGGGGGAAACCCUGAUCCAGCCAUCCCGCGUGUGCGAUGAAGGCCUUCGGGUUGUAAAGCACUUUUUUGGCGGAAAAGAAACGGCCUGGGAUAAUACCCCGUGCAACUGACGGUCACCUGCAGAAUAAACACCGGCUAACUACGUGCCAACAGCCGCGGUAAUACGUAGGGUGCAAGCGUUAAUCGGAAUACUGGGCGUAAAGCGUGCGCAGGCGGUUCGGAAAGAAAGAUGCUGAAAUCCCAGAGCUUAACUGGAACUACAUUUUUAACUACCGAGCUAGAGUGUGUCAGAGGAGGUGGAAUUCCGCGUGUAGCAGUGAAAUGCGUAGAUAUGCUGGAAGGAACACCGAUAGCGAAAGAGCGGCCUCACAAGAUCUAACCGCUGACGCUCAUGCACGAAAGCGUGGGGGAGCAAACAGGAUUAGAUACCUGAAACAGUCGCCUAAACGAUGUCAACUAGCUGUUGGGGCCUUCGGGCCUUGGUAGCGCAGCUAACGCGUGAAGUUGACCGCCUGGGGAGUACGGUCGCAAGAUUAAAACUCAAAGGAGUGACGGGACCACUGGCAUUGGAUGAUGUGGAUUAAUUCGAUGCAACGCGAAAACCGCCACUGCACCCAUGGUAUGUCUGGAAUCCCGAAGAGAUUUGGGAGUGCUCGCAAGAGAACCGGAACACAGGUGCAUGGCUGUCGUCAGCUCGUGUCGUGAGAUGUUGGGUUAAGUCCCGCAACGAGCGCAACCCUUGUCAUUAGUUGCUACACGAAGGGCACUCUAAUGAGACUGCCAUUAAACCGGAGGAAGGUGGGGAUGACGUCGAAGUCCUCAUGGCCCUUAUGGGUAGGGCUUCACACGUCAUACAAUGGUCGGGACAGAGGGUCGCCAACCCGCGAGGGGAGCCAAUCCCGAAACCCGAUCGUCAGUCCGGAUCGCGGUCUGCAACUCGACUGCGUGAAGUCAGAAUCGCUGGUAAUCAUAGCGGAUCAGCAUGCCGCAGUGAAUACGUUCCCGGGUCUUGUACACACCGCCCGUCACACCAUGGGAGUGGGUUUACCAGAAGUAGUUAGCCUAACCGUAAGGAGGGCGAUUACCACGGUAGGAUUCAUGACUGGGGGUGAAGUCGUAACAAGGUAA
rnacentral:rRNA from 1 species